GAAGUUGAGCUUCAGGCGCGGCUCUUCCCCGUCACACUGGGACCGGACGCAUUUCCAUGGCGUGGUCCCAGGAACCUCUCAGAGUGAACUGAAUUGGAUGCAAGAUCACGGUGCGUCAGAGCUAGCAAGAUCCUUAGGAUCAUUUAGCCUGGUUUACUAAUAUUACACUAUGGAAUUUAAGCCCAAGGAAUGGAGAGUACCCGACGAGCGUUAUGUAAGGAGUCGAGUGAGAAGUAAGCUGGAUGCUCUGCUUGGCUGGCAGGUACAGAAUGUGCCAGACCCAUCUGUACCAGCCUGGAUCUCUUGAGGCAUCAGCACAAUGGACCUGGCCACACCAGUUUAUUCCACACCGCUGAGGCUGGU
rnacentral:lncRNA from 10 species